CCCUUAGAUGUCCUGGGCCGCACGCGCGUUACACUGAUGCAUUCAACGAGCUUAUAACCUUGGCCGAGAGGCCUGGGCAAUCUUGUUAACGUGCAUCGUGAUAGGGAUAGAUUAUUGAAAUUAUUAAUCUUGAACGAGGAAUUCCUAGUAAACGCAGACCAUCAAUCUGCAUUGAUUAUGUCCCUGCCCUUUGUACACACCGCCCGUCGCACCUACCGAUUGGAUGGUCCGGUGAAGCCUCGGGAUUGUGGUUCUUGCCGCUUUAUUGUGGCGUGACCGCGAGAACUUGUCUAAACCUUAUCAUCUAGAGGAAGGUGAAGUCGUAACA
rnacentral:rRNA from 1 species